rnacentral:rRNA from 1 species
AUCAACUUUCGAUGGUAGGAUAGAGGCCUACCAUGGUGGUAACGGGUAACGGGGUGUUAGGGCACGACACCGGAGAGGGAGCCUGAGAAACGGCUACCACAUCCAAGGAUGGCAGCAGGCGCGCAAAUUACCCAAUCCCGACACGGGGAGGUAGUGACAAUAAAUAACAAUACGGGAUUCUAAAGGAUUUCGUAAUUGGAAUGAGUACAAUUUAAAUCUCUUAACGAUCAACAAUUGGAGGGCAAGUCUGGUGCCAGCAGCCGCGGUAAUUCCAGCUCCAAUAGCGUAUAUUAAAGUUGUUGCAGUUAAAAAGCUCGUAGUUGAAUUUCGGGGUUAGUAGGUUGGUCAUGCCUCUGGUAUGUACUGAUCUCACUGAUUCCUCCCUCUUGACGAACUGUAAUGUCAUUAAUUUGGUGUUGCAGGAAAUCAGGACUGUUACUUUGAAAAAAUUAGAGUGUUUAAAGCAGGCUUAGGCUUGAAUACAUUAGCAUGGAAUAAUGAAAUAGGACGUUUGAACCUAUUUUGUUGGUUUCUAGGAUCGACGUAAUGAUUAAUAGGGAUAGUUGGGGGCAUUAGUAUUCAAUUGUCAGAGGUGAAAUUCUUGGAUUUAUUGAAGACUAACUACUGCGAAAGCAUUUGCCAAGGAUGUUUUCAUUAAUCAAGAACGAAAGUUAGGGGAUCGAAGACGAUCAGAUACCGUCGUAGUCUUAACCAUAAACUAUGCCGACUAGGGAUCGGAUGAUGUUAAUUUUUUAAUGACUCAUUCGGCGCCUUACGGGAAACCAAAGUGUUUGGGUUC